CUCAGCAAAGCAUUGGCCCCGCGAAAUCUUGGCCUCUCGGCGUACGAGAAAGAGUGUUUGGCCUUACUUCUGGCCAUUGAUCACUGGCGGCCCUAUCUGCAGCAUUCAGAGUUCGUCAUCCGCACCGAUCAAAGUCUGCUGAACCUGACAGAUCAAUGCCUCAAUACCCCAAUCCAACAACGGGCGUUCACCAAACUGAUUGGCCUACAAUACACAAUCUAGUACAAAAUAGGGGCGACAAAUCGAGCGGCAGACGCGCUGUCCAGGUGUGAGCACAAGCCAGAAGCAGAGAUGGCUGCAAUCUCCAUCUGUAAACCUACCUGGUUAGAAGCUAUCAAGCGCAGUUACCAAACAGACCCAGCAGCGCAGCAACGCAUGACCAAAAUGGCCUUGGCUCCGGACAGUGAACCUGACUACACCUUGCAAGACGGUAUCUUGCGCUUCCGAGGGAGAGUGUGGAUUGGUGAAGAUAUUGACACUCAGCAACAUCUGAUUCGCGCGCUUCAUGACAGUGCCGCGGGAGGACACUCGGGCUUUCAUGCAACCUACAACAGGGUCAAACGAUUGUUUGCGUGGAAGGGGAUGAAGCUCCAAGUCAAGACCCUGGUGCGUAACUGCAUGGUAUGUCAGCAAGCGAAAACAGAGCGCAUUUCGCCAGCAGGGCUCCUUCAGCCAUUGCCAAUACCUCAAAAGCCAUGGUCAGUUAUCUCACUCGAUUUCAUUGAAAGAUUGCCGCGAUCGGGGGGGGGGGUACGACACAAUUCUGGUAGUGGUUGA
rnacentral:rRNA from 1 species